CCUAAGGGCGGCAGCAGUGGGGAAUAUUGGACAAUGGGCGAAAGCCUGAUCCAGCCAUGCCGCGUGUGUGAAGAAGGCCUUCGGGUUGUAAAGCACUUUCAGUGGGGAAGAAAGCCUUGGGGCUAAUACCCUCGAGGAAGGACAUCACCCACAGAAGAAGCACCGGCUAACUCCGUGCCAGCAGCCGCGGUAAUACGGAGGGUGCGAGCGUUAAUCGGAAUUACUGGGCGUAAAGCGCGCGUAGGCGGUCUGAUAAGCCGGUUGUGAAAGCCCCGGGCUCAACCUGGGAACGGCAUCCGGAACUGUCAGGCUAGAGUGCAGGAGAGGAAGGUAGAAUUCCCGGUGUAGCGGUGAAAUGCGUAGAGAUCGGGAGGAAUACCAGUGGCGAAGGCGGCCUUCUGGACUGACACUGACGCUGAGGUGCGAAAGCGUGGGUAGCAAACAGGAUUAGAUACCCGAGUAGUC
rnacentral:rRNA from 1 species